AUGGUCACCCCUGCUUAUGUACGGGACUGCUGCUAUAGCCAUGGGGUUACUUCCCUUUGGAGAUACUUCGCAAACAUUGGGUCGACGCUGCUCUCUUUAUUCUAGUGUCCGGUGCGUGGGGCUGCAGUUCAGUAAUCGUCACGUGUUUAUUCCGUUGGGAGAUGAUCAUGUUGCAUGUGUGCUUUAUCCUUUGUAUUGCAAUCAUGCUGGCUAUCCAACUGUCUCUAAACGUGGAGGACGCCUUCUCGUUCGUUGGCUUCGGCCUCGCUCAGUCCAUUUUGGUCAUCAUCUUCGGACUGGUCACUUUCUUCAUCAGCUUUAUACAGAUUGACAUCAUCGACAUGCUGCUUGUUUACCUUCUCACGCUCCUGUUUCACGUGUAUGUGAUCCUGGAUAUCUGGCUCAUCACCAGAAAGGACAGGUUCUGGACCGGCACCUACUACGAGCCUGUCCUUGUCGUAGUGGCGCUGUACACUGACAUAGUCGUCAUGCCCGUACGCGGCAUCAUACAACUCUACACACACCGAAAGAAAGUCAUUAAAAAAAUUAUGUCAUAUUGUAAAGAGGCCCACGCUAAGAUAUGGACAAACAAUGAUCAAGAAACUUUACUGGGACACAAAACAACGAUGAAUAAGGGAUAAAAUAUUGUAUGGUUACUAUUAAAAUAGUAACAGCAUUUACAAUGGCAUUUUUG